CUGAACCAGCCAAGUAGCGUGAAGGAUGAAGGAUCUAUGGUUUGUAAACUUCUUUUAUAGGGGAAUAAAGUGUGGGACGUGUUCCAUUUUGUAUGUACCCUAUGAAUAAGCAUCGGCUAACUCCGUGCCAGCAGCCGCGGUAAUACGGAGGAUGCGAGCGUUAUCCGGAUUUAUUGGGUUUAAAGGGUGCGUAGGUGGUAAUUUAAGUCAGUUGUGAAAGUUUGCGG
rnacentral:rRNA from 1 species